rnacentral:rRNA from 1 species
AUUAUAUUGGUUUACCUUUUUGGUGAACUAUAUGAUGGGUUUCUUCCUACUAGAGUUCGAUUCUGUUCUUAACUGAAUGGAGUAGCUAUCUCUCGGGGUAGUCAAUUGGUUUAUUAUAUCUCCACUAAUGAGCAGAGAGGAGUAAAAUCUUCAAAGUAAGUUAUGUGGGUCAAGGUAUGAUGAUUAAUUGGAGUUCUAGUUCAUUUACUUUGAGAAAAUUAGAGUGUUUAAAGCAGCCUCUUGGGGCACUGAAUACAUUAGCAUGGGAUAAUAAAAUAGGAUCUUCACAAUAUAUUUUAUUGGUUUAAAUUGCGUAUGAAGAUAAUGAUUAAUAGGGACAGUUGGGGGUAUUCAUAUUGGGUGGUUAGCGGUGAAAUGCUCGGAUCCAUUCAAGAUGAACUAAAGCGAAAGCAUUUACCAAGGAUGUUUUCAUUAAUCAAGAACGAAAGUUAAGGGAUCGAAGACGAUUAGAUACCGUCGUAGUCUUAACUAUAAACUAUGCCGACCAGGGC